UAUUAGUUAUAAAGAUGGAUAUGACAUGAUUUUAAGUCAAAAAACAACAAGUCAGAUUUGGUCAAAUGAAAUAAAAGCAAAAUGCAUCCUAAAAUGAUCUUAACACUUUCAGUGCCCUUACAAACUUCAAUGCUUCCCACCACAGGC